rnacentral:rRNA from 1 species
CAGCCGCCGCGGUAAUACGGAGGGUGCAAGCGUUAAUCGGAAUUACUGGGCGUAAAGCGCACGCAGGCGGUCUGUCAAGUCAGAUGUGAAAUCCCCGGGCUUAACCUGGGAACUGCAUUUGAAACUGGCAGGCUAGAGUCUUGUAGAGGGGGGUAGAAUUCCAGGUGUAGCGGUGAAAUGCGUAGAGAUCUGGAGGAAUACCGGUGGCGAAGGCGGCCCCCUGGACAAAGACUGACGCUCAGGUGCGAAAGCGUGGGGAGCAAACAGGAUUAGAUACCCCGGUAGUCCCUGUCUCUUAUAA